AACGCGAAGAACCUUACCAGGUCUUGACAUUCCGGGAUUAGUUCGGUGAAAGCCGGAUGAUUGCCCUCAAAGCGUAACCGGAACAGGUGCUGCAUGGCUGUCGUCAGCUCGUGCCGUGAGGUGUUAGGUUAAGUCCUUUAACGAGCGAAACCCCUACGAUUAGUUACCAACGCGUCAUGGCGGGGACUCUAGUCGGACUGCCGCGAAAGUAGGAGGAAGGUGGGGACGACGUCAAGUCAUCAUGGCCUUUAUGAUCUGGGCUACACACGUCCUACAAUGGGUGGUACAACGGGUUGCCAAGCCGCAAGGCGGAGCCAAUCCCCAAAAGCCACCCUCAGUUCAGAUUGUGGGCUGCAAUCCGCCCACAUGAAGCUGGAAUCGCUAGUAAUCGCGGAUCAGCUACGCCGCGGUGAAUAUGUUCCCGGGCCUUGUACACACCGGAGUGC
rnacentral:rRNA from 1 species